rnacentral:other from 1 species
UAAAUCCUGAGGUGUUCGUUAAGGCCAUGAUAUUUAACCUACAGUAAGUUCACGGGAUUUCGGGUUUCCUCGGCCUAUGUCAGGCCUCCUUGCAGUGGAAGACAGAAGCGGGAACAGAUGACCCACCUAUCGGUCGGAUAGGGUGUGAAUGAUUGGUCUGACGGCACAUCGGGAUUUUU